AUUGAACGCUGGCGGCAGGCCUAACACAUGCAAGUCGAACGGUAACAGGAAGCAGCUUGCUGCUUCGCUGACGAGUGGCGGACGGGUGAGUAAUGUCUGGGAAACUGCCUGAUGGAGGGGGAUAACUACUGGAAACGGUAGCUAAUACCGCAUAACGUCGCAAGACCAAAGAGGGGGACCUUCGGGCCUCUCGCCAUCGGAUGUGCCCAGAUGGGAUUAGCUAGUAGGUGGGGUAACGGCUCACCUAGGCGACGAUCCCUAGCUGGUCUGGGAGGGUGACCAGCCACACGGGAACUGAGACACGGUCCAGACUCCUACGGGAGGCAGCAGUGGGGAAUAUGGCACAAUGGGCGCAAGCCUGAUGCAGCCAUGCCGCGUGUAUGAAGAAGGCCUUCGGGUUGUAAAGUACUUUCAGCGGGGAGGAAGGCGGUGAAGUUAAUAACUUCACCGAUUGACGUUACCCGCAGAAGAAGCACCGGCUAACUCCGUGCCAGCAGCCGCCGUAA
rnacentral:rRNA from 1 species